rnacentral:rRNA from 1 species
AUUUUCCGCAAUGGGCGAAAGCCUGACGGAGCAAUACCGCGUGAGGGAGGAAGGCUCUUGGGUUGUAAACCUCUUUUCUCAGGGAAGAACAAAAUGACGGUACCUGAGGAAUCAGCAUCGGCUAUCUCCGUGCCAGCAGCCGCGGUAAUACGGAGGAUGCAAGCGUUAUCCGGAAUGAUUGGGCGUAAAGCGUCCGCAGGUGGCUGUGUAAGUCUGCUGUCAAAGAGCGAAGCUCAACUUCGUAAAGGCAGUGGAAACUACACGGCUAGAGUGCGUUCGGGGCAGAGGGAAUUCCUGGUGUAGCGGUGAAAUGCGUAGAGAUCAGGAAGAACACCGGUGGCGAAGGCGCUCUGCUAGGCCGCAACUGACACUGAGGGACGAAAGCUAGGGGAGCGAAUG